rnacentral:rRNA from 1 species
GACGAACGCUGGCGGCGUGCUUAACACAUGCAAGUCGAACGGAAAGGCCCUGCUUUUGUGGGGUGCUCGAGUGGCGAACGGGUGAGUAACACGUGAGUAACCUGCCCUUGACUUUGGGAUAACUUCAGGAAACUGGGGCUAAUACCGGAUAGGAGCUCCUGCUGCAUGGUGGGGGUUGGAAAGUUUCGGCGGUUGGGGAUGGACUCGCGGCUUAUCAGCUUGUUGGUGGGGUAGUGGCUUACCAAGGCUUUGACGGGUAGCCGGCCUGAGAGGGUGACCGGCCACAUUGGGCCUGAGAUACGGCCCAGACUCCUACGGGAGGCAGCAGUGGGGAAUAUUGCACAAUGGGCGGAAGCCUGAUGCAGUAACGCCGCGUGCGGGAUGACGGCCUUCGGGUUGUAAACCGCUUUCGCCUGUGACGAAGCGUGAGUGACGGUAAUGGGUAAAGAAGCACCGGCUAACUACGUG